rnacentral:rRNA from 1 species
UACAGGGGGUGCAAACGUUGCUCGGAAUUAUUGGGCGUAAAGCGCGCGUAGGCGGCUACUUAAGUCGGAUGUGAAAGCCCUUGGCUCAACUGAGGAAGUGCACCCGAAACUGAGUGGCUUGAGUACUAAAGAGGGUCGCGGAAUUCCCGGUGUAGAGGUGAAAUUCGUAGAUAUCGGGAGGAACACCGGUGGCGAAGGCGGCGACCUGGGUAGAUACUGACGCUGAGGAGCGAAAGCGUGGGGAGCGAACAGG